UACGUAGGGUGCAAGCGUUGUCCGGAAUUAUUGGGCGUAAAGAGCUCGUAGGCGGUGUGUCACGUCGGCCGUGAAAAACCUGCAGCUUAACUGUGGGCGUGCGGUCGAUACGGGCAUCACUGGAGUUCGGCAGGGGGAGACUGGAAUUCCUGGUGUAGCGGUGGAAUGCGUAGAGAUCCGGAAGAACACCGGUGGCGAAGGCGGUCUGCUGGGCAGUUGCUGACACUGAGGCGCGACAGCGUGGGGGAGCAAACAGG
rnacentral:rRNA from 1 species